UGAGGAAUUUUGCGCAAUGGGAGCAAUCCUGACGCAGCAACGCCGCGUGGGUGAUGAAGGCCUUCGGGUCGUAAAGCCCUGUCAGGUGGGAAGAAUGUCCUGGAAUUGAACAGGUUUCGGGAGUGACGGUACCACCAGAGGAAGCACCGGCUAACUCCGUGCCAGCAGCCGCGGUAAUACGGAGGGUGCAAGCGUUAUUCGGAAUUACUGGGCGUAAAGCGCGUGUAGGCGGUCCUGCAAGUCUGAUGUGAAAGCCCCGGGCUUAACCCGGGAAGUGCAUUGGAAACUGCAGGUCUUGAGUACUGGAGAGGAGGGGGGAAUUCCCGGUGUAGAGGUGAAAUUCGUAGAGAUCGGGAGGAAUAUCAGUGGCGAAGGCGCCCAUCUGGACGGUAACUGACGCUGAGACGCGAAAGCGUGGGGAGCAAACA
rnacentral:rRNA from 1 species